rnacentral:lncRNA from 1 species
GACCAGACAUGAGCAGAUAUUACUGGAUCUUGGACAAGUGGGUCUCUAAGGAACAUCAAAGACCCUGAGAAGCCAAAAGUUAUGAAAUGCAUCAGCAGUGGGUUGAAGACAAGACCUCUCCUUUUCCUGCUGACAUUUCUUCCAUGAGCAGUACCCAGACAGCCGACAGAAAGAGCCCAGGAGGUAACUGGGGACAUGAGAUGAAAACUCAAGAUGCAAGGGUAUCCCAUCUUUUGGCUUCCUUGGGCCACAUUGGAAGAAGAAGAAUUAUCUUGGGCCAUGCAGGAAAUACACUAACAAUAACUGAUGAGCUAAAAAAAAUCACCAAAAAAUCUGAUAAUGUUUUAAGAAAGUUUACAAAUUUGUGUUAGGCCACAUUCAAAGCAAUCCUGGGCUGCCUGUGGCCUAUGGGCCACGGGCUGGACACGCUUGCAAGGGAGAGGACAGAUAAAGAUACGUAUGAGAGCAUCCUCCUUAGAGAAAGGUCAGUGUUGAAGUCAUAGGGUAAGGGAACUCUUUCAAAAGAAAGUAAAAAAAAAAAAAAAAGAUAGCGAAGUAAAUCAUGUGAAGUCUCUACAGAGUAAGGGCCAAAGGGAGGACACAGUAGCUUAAAAUCACAAUAUUGUUUUUGUUCCUAUUUUUGUUUUUCUCAUAAAGCUACAGGUCAGCUGGACAGCUCGCUCUUGGGUCCUCACAAAGCUACUGGUCAGCUGGGCAGCUCAGCUGGGUCCUCAUCAAUGAACCAGGGUUGGCUGAUUUUAGCUGGGCUCACUCAAUUUUCUAGAGUCCACUGGUCUGUCUGCUGCAGUGUGGCUGAUCUAGGACAGCCCUGGCCUUGGUGACCUGGCUCUGCUGCACGAUGCAGCCAUCCUCUAGCAGGCUAGCCUAUCACAGCAAAACAGAAGCACAAAAGAGAGAUCAGGAAAACGCAUAGCUUCUUAAGGCCUAGGCCCUAAACUGGUGCAUCACUUACUUCUUGGCAACAUUCUGGUGGCCAAAGGAAGUCACAUGUCCAACCCCAGACUCUAAAGGAGGGAAAAGAGACCCGAUGCCUUAAUGGGAGUAAAGUCACAUUGCAAAAGGCAAGGAUCCCAAAAAUGUUUCAAAAAAAAUUGGAGGCCAUCUUUGCAAUCAAAGUUAGAUUAUUCUCAAUGGUAAAAGUUGGAACCACAAUAUUAUUGUUACCUUCAAAGAGUACACCUAGCUGAAUCCCCCAGUCAAUGCAGGAAUUCCCCCAAAUUAAACACACACACACACACACACACAUACACAUAAACCCUCAAAGAUUCCCACAACUUGACCAUUUGACCUAGCUUUUCUCACUGGGUAAAAAAAGCAAGAGGGAAAAAAAAACCACUGCAGCUCUCUCCCACCCCUGCUGUUCAGCCUUCAGUUUAUCUGGCCUCUGCUAUGAGUCACAGCUGACUGAAGGGUGGGGGUGGGUUGUGAGUCAUGGCCUAAAACAAAGAUAGAAUUUGAUGGGGGUGGACGAGCAGGCGAGAGAGAAGACACGGCAAGUUCAGGCAUUCUCUCAGUGUUUAGGGUGAUGUCUUCUUUCCUGCAGCUGGGGAAGUUGGGCAGAGUGCCCCCGAAGGAGGAGAUUCCACACAGGCCCUGUGUAUCUGAGAGUUGAGUUGCUGAUUUCAGAGGUGUUUGUAUCAUUGCUCUAAAUGUGUUUCUGCUCCCCUCCCACCCAAGAUGCUGGUUCAACGGACCAUUUCAUCCUACCAUUAUACAGAACCCACAGGAGCUAGUUACCUGGUCAGUUUGAGAAGUUAAUAUUUAAAAAGACUAAUGGUUGCAUAUGGCUUCCACAGGAAAGAAAUAAUAAGCUAAUGUUAUCUAUUGACUCAAUCCCACAUAUAUUUACAUUUGACAACUUAAAAAAAAAACCUUCGGCUCAAUGAUAGUUUAGCUCAAGUCACUAUGUUAGGAUAUAUAUUUCUUUCAUCUAUGACUAUUUUUGUCUGCACAGUAACCUGCCUCAAGCACACAAAUAUUUGUGUGUCUGGCCUCAAGCAAUUAACGUGUCUCCUAACAUGAGAUAAAGAUUAAAUGAAAAUUCUGUCACCCUGAAAUAAACCUGGAAGCAGAAUUCCUGAAUGUUUGCCAAAUAAGGUGACUAUCAGACUUAAGAUGCUGAACUUUGAAAUGACUGUCAUAGAAACAAAGGCAAGGCAUGGUUGGCGCCCAUUCAACCUGGUCAAUAACAUCCUUAAUUACAGGACAUGGCAUCAUUUUGAUUCACAGUGGAAUAAAAGGCAUCUAUUUGUAAAAAAAAAAAAAAAAAA